rnacentral:RNase_P_RNA from 1 species
CCAGACGGUUGGACGGCCGCUGGCGGGGCAACCCGCUGGAGGAAAGUCCGGGCUCCACGGAAAUACGGUGCCGGCUAACAGCCGGCGGGGGCGACCCCAGGGACAGUGCCACAGAAAACAAACCGCCGCGGCUUGUCCGGGGUAAGGGUGAAACGGUGCGGUAAGAGCGCACCGCAACCCUGGUGACAGGGUUGGCAGGGUAAACCCCACCGGGAGCAAGACCGAAUAGGGGCGGCCGGCGUUGUAUCUCAGGAUAUGAACGCGGGGGUAUUUUCGACCCGCCGCCCGGGUUGGUCGCGUUGAGGCGGGCCGCAAGGUCCGUCCCAGAGGAAUGGCCGUCCAGCAUCGUUAAAGAUGUGGACAGAACCCGGCUUACAGACCGUCUGGAUAU